UGCGUAGGGCGCAAGCGUUGUCCGGAAUUAUUUGGGCGUAAAGAGCUCGUAGGCGGCCAGUUGCGUCUGCUGUGAAAUCCCGGGGCUCAACCCCGGGCGUGCAGUGGAUACGGGCUGGCUAGAGGCAGGCAGGGGGAGAACGGAAUUCCCGGUGUAGCGGUGAAAUGCGCAGAUAUCAGGAGGAACACCGGUGGCGAAGGCGGGUCUCUGGGCCGUAACUGACGCUGAGGAGCGAAAGCGUGGGGAGCAACAGG
rnacentral:rRNA from 1 species